rnacentral:rRNA from 1 species
CAGCUCUUGACAUCUUCUGACCGGUGCAGAGAUGCACUUUUCCCUUCGGGGACGGAAAGACAGGUGCUGCAUGGCUGUCGUCAGCUCGUGUCGUGAGAUGUUGGGUUAAGUCCCGCAACGAGCGCAACCCUCAUCGUCAGUUGCCAUCAGGUUAAGCUGGGCACUCUGGCGAAACUGCCGGUGACAAGCCGGAGGAAGGCGGGGAUGACGUCAAGUCCUCAUGGCCCUUACGGGCUGGGCUACACACGUGCUACAAUGGCGGUGACAGAGGGAAGCGAUCCCGCGAGGGGGAGCCAAUCUCAAAAAGCCGUCUCAGUUCGGAUUGCACUCUGCAACUCGAGUGCAUGAAGUUGGAAUCGCUAGUAAUCGCGGAUCAGCACGCCGCAGUGAAUACGUUCCC